UCGAUGUUCUAAAAUAAUUGC
rnacentral:piRNA from 1 species